ensembl:lncRNA
AACAGGAACGAGACACACAUGACCUCUAAUGCAAUAACUCAAUAAGGAAACUGGACUUGGCCGGCGGAAGAUCCCUGAAUGCAACAGUAAGCAAACUUUGUGUGUGAAGUGUCUAUUGGUUGCCUCACUGAUAAGCUCUCAUCCAAUCCCGUCAAAAUCACAAAAGCCCAGCAGUGUUGCUUAAACAUUAAUCUGAGUGUUGUUUGCAUUGGAAACUCACCGAACUACACCUUUAAAAGUUUGACAAACGAGCAGGUGAUUGUAAGUUGGUCUCCUGCUGAUAAGUCUGGUUUCUAGUUCCUCGGUUGAAUUUCCGGACUCAGGACAUGAACGAGAGCCUCAUCCCAUAUGCAGAAUCAUCAUCAAGAAACUAUUCCGGAGUGAGAACAGAGGGCGGGUCAGAUUCACGCGCGCACGCACGCACGCACACGGACACACAUCGUUGUCAAGCCUGAUGACAGUCGGCACAGAAAGGGCUUUGUGUUCACCUAUUGGAGAUGAAACCGAGGCUGGAGAUACUCCUGCACCAUUCCUGGGUCAGAUGGACUCAGGACAUGAACGAGAGCCUCAUCCCAUAUGCAGAAUCAUCAUCAAGAAACUAUUCCGGAGUGAGAACAGAGGGCGGGUCAGAUUCACGCGCGCACGCACGCACGCACACGGACACACAUCGUUGUCAAGCCUGAUGACAGUCGGCACAGAAAGGGCUUUGUGUUCACCUAUUGGAGAUGAAACCGAGGCUGGAGAUACUCUUGCACCUCGCUACAGAGGAGGUGCAGGAGUGAGUCUGCGGAGGAGUUCAGACAGAGUUCAGCGUUAACCAUCACACUCUCCUGUGCCUCUGCCUCCAGGCUGUGCACACUCAGACCAAAAACAGAGAGCCCAUUUUCCUUUUCGUCAUUAGCAAAGUGAGUUUAACUGAACUCGUCUGCCUGCGCACUGAUUCUAUGAAGAAAAGUGAAAUGACUCAGAGGUUUUAAUUGUGGGGCCUGAAUUUGUACGAUCUCUUGGAUUCAACAAUGCCCCAUUAAUGUAAAUUUACCAUAUGGCUCUAGAUCUCUCUUCUGUACACUUACUGUGCUGCGUUUCUUUUCUUUCUUAAAACUGGUCACUCGUAUGUUAAUGGCACAUUUGAAGCUGAUAUACCUCUGGAAUUUGCUCAUUUAUAAAAGUACAGGAGUGGUGCACUCCGGCCCCCUUUGAGGCUGUUUGGCAACAAAUUGUGUCAAGGUACAAAUCAUCACACCAGAUUAGACAUACUGCUGGACUUAGCAGACAGUAGGUUCCUUUCAUAUCUAACACAUCCAUCAUGAACAAAUCCAACCACAGCUUUUCUCUGGAUGUGUAAACCCCCCUAAUAUUCAUCUUCAUUAUCUUCAGAGCCUCCACACUGUUCUUCAGACAAAGAUCCUUUUCAUUGGAUAAGCCUUGCUACGCAUAUUUUCAAAUACUUUUAUUACCUCUCAAUUUGCCUCGGUGUUCACCCAUAAACAAAAUCCCAUUUCUCAGAAUUGAUGAUAAAUCCUGUUGAUAAGACUUUUGCAAAUGAACAGCUACAGUAAUUUGGUCAUAGAAAUAGAAUUUGUGUGGGUGUGUGAGACGUUCUCAUUAAUUUGUUUUGGAGGUCCAAAGACCAGUUUGUAGUAACUGAAAUAAAGAUUUUGUGAUGAAAAUAUGAAUUAUAUAUAUACAUAUUAUAAAGUAAAAUGGUUGUGGAACAAACAGACUUUGGAACAAAAGUACAUUUUGAAAUGAAAACAAAAUGUAUCAACAUGAUCUAUCUAGAUGUGUUGAGCUUACAAAUCAUAGGGGAACUGUUUUAUGAACCCUGAUUCCAUCAGUCGAGGGUGGAGGUCAACGCCGGUAAAGGGUUAAAUGUGCAAUUUCUGGUUGCACGAGGUCUCCCUCUUAUCAUCUUUGACGACCUAACACCAAGAGAUACUACAGGGACUGUUUU